rnacentral:rRNA from 1 species
GCAGGCUUAAACAUGCAAGUCGAGGGGUAACAUUGUGCUUGCACAGAUGACGACCGGCGCACGGGUGCGUAACGCGUAUAGAACCUACCUUUUACAGAGGAAUAGCCUUUAGAAAUGAAGAUUAAUGCCUCAUAGUAUUGAGUAUUCGCAUGAAUAUUUAAUUAAAGAUUUAUCGGUAAAAGAUGGCUAUGCGUCCUAUUAGUUAGUUGGUAAGGUAACGGCUUACCAAGACAGCGAUAGGUAGGGGUCCUGAGAGGGAGAUCCCCCACACUGGUACUGAGACACGGACCAGACUCCUACGGGAGGCAGCAGUGAGGAAUAUUGGACAAUGGAGGAGACUCUGAUCCAGCCAUGCCGCGUGUAGGAAGAAUGCCCUAUGGGUUGUAAACUACUUUUAUACAGGAAGAAACACUGGUAUGUAUACCAGCUUGACGGUACUGUAAGAAUAAGGACCGG